rnacentral:lncRNA from 1 species
UUUUGAUCCCAUAGCAGUUGCCUGUCUGAGGACAGAUUUCUCUCAUGCCUUCUCAAUUCCUCCUGUCUCUCCUCUUUCUCUCCAGACAAUGCUGGCAGUCCUCUCUUCUCACUAUACCUUCAUCAACUUCAUACGGAUGACAGAGUUUUCCAUCACUCCCUGUCCUGUCCUAACUUGGAAACUUCCAACACCAUGCCAAAGCAGGCAGAUGUCACUAGUGAUGCCAUAUCACAACCCUCAAGGACUUGGAAGGCAGUCAUGCUGCUGAAGACUCUGGAUGGAUCCACUCCAUCAUUUCCAUCACUCUCAUCUGGAAGUGCAGCCCCUGCCACAGCUUUGGCCUGGAGACCCUCUCUGGACUGUCAACGCGCAUGCGUCUGUGGGCGGAGCAUCGCUGCUCGCAGCACUUGGCAGCAGCAGUUUUUAAUUCGAGAGUUGAGCCCAGGGGCUGGAGGCCUUGCUUCAUCUCACCAGCAAGCUGUCCCUAGUGAAUGCAUCUGAUUCCAGGAAACUCUCUUUUCUGUGAGUCAGGAAACAUCCAUCCAGACUGUCUGAAUUAUCAAAGAAAAAAGAAAAAAAAAAUCUUGAGCUGAUGGCAUCCGAAUGAAUCAGUUACAGGGCUGGACCGGGGAGCUGAUUGGAGCUGUCAGGUUCCCUGUGGAGAGACAGCCCUGGGAGACUCUGCUCAAAGAGUGCCAGGACAUCAACAAUCAACAAGCUUUCAGGUGAAUUUCACAACACCUGUGGGAGGGGGAGCCCUCCAGCUCCUUACUGUUCUUAAUAACUCAGAGUCCAGUUAGUGAUGCACACAUGUGCAUGGGCGUGUGGCCACCCUCUGGGCCAUGAAUAACAUACUCCAUAUUCCCUGGAGAGAGUGACCCCCAUUCUGCCAGCAACCAUAACCGCCAAUAGCUGUGUCUUCUCAGGGAACUCUCCACCCAAGCUGGACUUAUGAGUGGCUUGACCUUGUGCAGGUGACCCCAGCUGUUGCGAGCUGAUGCUUGAGACAGCCAUGUCAGCUCUGAAAGCCAGCAUUUCACAGCUCUCCUCCCAUGCUGAUUCUCUCUUCUGUGAGGUUCUCGAGCUGUGGAUUGAGGGAGGGAGGUAGACAUAGAAGAUAGCUCUAGCGUUACCCCCAUUCAAGUCUCUUUUCUUGUACCAUGCAGCUUCUGAGAGCUUAACCCAUGACCAUUCACAGGUUUGGGUGAGCAUUCAUAGACACCAUACAUUGUGUCAGGAUCAUGACAUUCCGGGAUGUCACUCAAGAGCUGGGGUGACAGACCCUUACUCUGUGGACUGGGACAUGUUGAGAUAACAGUGCGGAUCUGGGAACAAGGAGAACUGUGGGUUCAAAUCCCUACACACCACUUAUUAAUCACAGUGCCUUGGGCAAGCUGUUUACAUUUCUGAGCCUCCGUGUUUUGACAUUUCAUUUGACAAGGCUGGUAUCCACAGUCCACCAGUGGU